AUUGAACGCUGGCGGCAUGCUUUACACAUGCAAGUCGAACGGCAGCACAGGGAGCUUGCUCCUGGGUGGCGAGUGGCGAACGGGUGAGUAAUGUAUCGGAACGUGCCUGGUAGUGGGGGAUAACUACUCGAAAGAGUGGCUAAUACCGCAUGAGAUCUUUGGAUGAAAGCGGGGGACCUUCGGGCCUCGUGCUACUGGAGCGGCCGAUAUCAGAUUAGGUUGUUGGUGGGGUAAAGGCCUACCAAGCCUGCGAUCUGUAGCUGGUCUGAGAGGACGACCAGCCACACUGGGACUGAGACACGGCCCAGACUCCUACGGGAGGCAGCAGUGGGGAAUUUUGGACAAUGGGCGCAAGCCUGAUCCAGCAAUGCCGCGUGCAGGACGAAGGCCUUCGGGCUGUAAACUGCUUUUGUACAGAACGAAAAGUCUCUGGCUAAUAUCUAGAGAUCAUGACGGUACUGUAAGAAUAAGCACCGGCUAACUACGUG
rnacentral:rRNA from 1 species